rnacentral:rRNA from 1 species
UACGUAGGGGGCAAGCGUUGUCCGGAUUUAUUGGGCGUAAAACGCUCGUAGGUGGCUACGUCAAGUCGGACGUGAAAUCUCAUGGCUCAACCGUGAGGCUGCCUUCUAGACUGCCUGGCUUGAGCACGGUAGAGGCUGGUGGAAUUCCCGGUGUAGCGGUGGAAUGCGUAGAGAUCGGGAAGAACACCGGUGGCGAAGGCGGCAUCCUGGACCGGUAUUGACGCUGAGGCGCGAAAGCCAGGGGAGCAAACGGG